GAAUUUUAGACAAUGGGCGAAAGCCUGAUCCAGCAAUGCCGCGUGCAGGAUGAAGGCCUUCGGGUUGUAAACUGCUUUUGUACGGAACGAAAAGCUUUGGGUUAAUCACCCGGAGUCAUGACGGUACCGUAAGCAUAAGCGCCGGCUAACUACGUGCCGACCGCCGCGGUAAUACGUAGGGUGCAAGCGGUAAUCGGAAUUACUGGGCGGAAAGCGUGCGCAGGCGGUUUUGUAAGACAGAGGUGAACUCCCCGUGCUCAACCUGGGAACUGCCUUUGUGACUGCAAGGCUAGAGUACGGCAGAGGGGGGUGGAAUUCCGCGUGUAGCAGUGAAAUGCGUAGAUAUGCGGAGGAACACCGAUGGCGAAGGCAACCCCCUGGGCCUGUACUGACGCUCAUGCACGAAAGCGUGGGGAGCAAACAG
rnacentral:rRNA from 1 species